CCAAUAGCGUAUAUUAAAGUUGUUGCAGUUAAAAAGCUCGUAGUUGAAUUUCAGGCCUGGCUGGGCGGUCCGCCUUUUGGGUGAGUACUGCCUGUGGUCGGGUCCUACCUUCUGGCGAAGCGUCAUGGCCUUAACCGGCCGUGGCGGGGAACCAGGACUUUUACUGUGUAAAAAUUAGAGUGUUCAAAGCAGGCAUUCGCUUGCAUACAUUAGCAUGGAAUAAUGGAAUAGGACAGUGGUUCUAUUUGUUGGUUUCUAGGACCGUUGUAAUGAUUAAUAGGGAUAGUUGGGGGCAUUAGUAUUCAAUUGUCAGAGGUGAAAUUCUUGGAUUUAUUGAAGACUAACUACUGCGAAAGCAUUUGCCAAGGAUGUUUUCAUUAAUCAAGAACGAAAGUUAGGGGAUCGAAGACGAUCAGAUACCGUCGUAGUCUUAACCAUAAACUAUGCCGACUAGGAAUCGGGCGAUGUUGACAAAAUGACGCGCUCGGCACCUCAUG
rnacentral:rRNA from 1 species